rnacentral:rRNA from 1 species
AACGAACGCUGGCGGCGUGCCUAACACAUGCAAGUCGAGCGCGAAAGGAGCAAUCCGAGUAGAGCGGCGCACGGGUGCGUAACACGUGGAUAAUCUGCCUCAGGGUUGAGGAUAACCUUCUGAAAGGUUGGCUAAUACUCGGUAAGCUUACGGUGACUUUGGUCGCUGUGAGAAAACUAGACCUCUAUUUAUAAGUUUAGGCCCAGAGAUGAGUCCGCGGCCCAUCAGCUAGUUGGCGGGGUAACGGCCCACCAAGGCCACGACGGGUAGCUGGUCUGAGAGGACGAUCAGCCACACUGGAACUGAGACACGGUCCAGACUCCUACGGGAGGCAGCAGUGGGGAAUUUUCCACAAUGGGCGAAAGCCUGAUGGAGCAACGCCGCGUGUGUGAUGAAGGUCUUCGGAUCGUAAAGCACUUUCGACUGGGACGAAAAACCUUUGGCUAACAUCCAGGGGCCUGACGGUACCAGGAGAAGAAGCACCGGCUAACUCUGUGCCAGCCGCCGCGGUAAAAC